GGGUGUAACUCAAUGGUAGAGUGUGCAUGCUUAGCAUGCAUGAUGUCCUGGGUUCAAUCCCCAGUACCUCCA
rnacentral:tRNA from 1 species